ACAUUCGUCACCAGUGCAACCAGAUCCAAUGCUUCCUGCUCUGAGCCUUCCAGCUCCACCACCACCACCAGCAGGGGAAACAGUCUAUAAUGCAAGCUCUAGCAUUUGAGAGAAUGAAGAGCUCAUAUAGCACUUCUGCUUAUGACUCCAAGCAACUGAAACCACAAUGAAAAGAAUUUCUGGGUCAUCCAGUUCUGUCCUUUCUCUCAUAACAUGUAACCUCGGUUCAUAAACCCAAGCAAAAUCCACCAUUAAAACAUCUUUUUGUUCCACUAUUCUUACCAGA